ACAGCUGCUUAAGCCUAAGGGCUGGUAUUUGGUGUGUCUCACCCCGCUACCUUUCUUUCAGGACUGGCAGGGAGUUGCUCCACCAGUCUAUGUCCUGCUCAUACUCCCUGAUAGCCCUUAACCUCUCCACCUCCUCCUUGAGCUCUGCCACCCGGCUAACCAGGUCAUCUAACUGCUCACACCUCACCCACCCGGUGUCUCUGCCACCCUCAGAUGGCAGCAACAGGC